rnacentral:rRNA from 1 species
UACGAAGGGGGCUAGCGUUGCUCGGAAUCACUGGGCGUAAAGCGCACGUAGGCGGAUUGCUAAGUCAGGGGUGAAAUCCUGGAGCUCAACUCCAGAACUGCCUUUGAUACUGGCGAUCUUGAGUCCGGGAGAGGUGAGUGGAACUGCGAGUGUAGAGGUGAAAUUCGUAGAUAUUCGCAAGAACACCAGUGGCGAAGGCGGCUCACUGGCCCGGUACUGACGCUGAGGUGCGAAAGCGUGGGGAGCAAAGCAGG